ACUUGAACUUCGGUUUGGGUGGCGGACGGGUGAGUAACGCGUAAAGAACUUGCCUCACAGACUGGGACAACAUCUGGAAACGGAUGCUAAUACCGGAUAUUAUGAUUUUAGUGCAUGCUAGAAUUAUGAAAGCUAUAUGCGCUGUGAGAGAGCUUUGCGUCCCAUUAGCUAGUUGGAGAGGUAACGGCUCACCAAGGCGAUGAUGAGUAGCCGGCCUGAGAGGGUGAACGGCCACAAGGGGACUGAGACACGGCCCUUACUCCUACGGGAGGCAGCAGUGGGGAAUAUUGGACAAUGGACCGAGAGUCUGAUCCAGCAAUUCUGUGUGCACGAUGAAGUUUUUCGGAAUGUAAAGUGCUUUCAGUUGGGAAGAAAAAAAUGACGGUACCAACAGAAGAAGUGACGGCUAAAUACGUGCCAGCAGCCGCGGUAAUACGUAUGUCACAAGCGUUAUCCGGAUUUAUUGGGCGUAAAGCGCGUCUAGGCGGCUAUGUAAGUCUGAUGUGAAAAUGCGGGGCUCAACUCCGUAUUGCGUUGGAAACUGUGUAGCUAGAGUAUCGGAGAGGUAAGCGGAACUACAAGUGUAGAGGUGAAAUUCGUAGAUAUUUGUAGGAAUGCCGAUGGGGAAGCCAGCUUACUGGACGAAUACUGACGCUAAAGCGCGAAAGCGUGGGUAGCAAACAGGAUUAGAUACCCUGGUAGUCCACGCUGUAAACGAUGAUUACUAGGUGUUGGGGGUCGAAC
rnacentral:rRNA from 1 species